ensembl:lncRNA
GCAGCUGUUGAGCCACAAGUCACAGCUCAGUGUAUUAAGGUAAAGCAGUUCCAAUUUCAGGUUACCUUAAUACCCUGAGCUGCAAACUGUGACAGUCACUGUGCAGACAGCUGAGCCGUCCUGCAGCAGCACUACCAGCCUGAGAGGGACAGGCGUGCAGCGGGGAGAGAAACCAUCGCAGCUGUCCCGAAGUGAGCCUCCUGUCUGACAUCGGAGCCUGGAGACGCCGCCUUCAAGCAGAAAUCACAUCAACCAUUAGGGCCUGAAUCAGGGGGUGCUGAUGUCUCACCUCACACGCUGGACACACAGCCUCACCUGCAGAAGUGCCACCCGUGCUUUGUAGGCAGGCAGGGGUGAGUGAGAGGCGGCAGGGAAUUAACACGGUGCUCUCCUCACAUAACCUUCCCAGCACCUGCUUGCUUCAUUCCAGGCGUUUGUAACCAGAACCCUCCCUGCACACGCUGUUAGUCUCACCCGCCGCUGGCGCACCAACAAUUGGGAUCAGAGCUAAAUCUGGGGCGUCUGCGGGGACCCAGCGCCUGCUUUGAACAUCCUGGCUGGUCCAACAAGGGCAACUGAAAGUCAGCGCUGCAUAAUCCUGCAUUCGUAACCAUGCAUUUGGGCAGGGAUUUAAGAACGAGUGCGUAAGAGAAAGUGUGACCCUCAAGUGACCGUCAGCUCCUGUGGUGCCCGCUGUUCCCCAGUCUGAUCACGUAACGAACCCCUGGGGCAGGAAGAGCUCUGCUCACACACAGGGGGCAAAGCAGUGCUGGUUGGGUGCACAGCUUUGCCUUUCCCGGCUGCCCCAGGCAAAGAGAUGCAGCUGAUGCAGGAGGAGCGAGUCAGAGGAGGGGGUGCUGCUUUCAACCGACAGAAGGGACCGACAUAAGUGAGCAACAGGAGCUGGCUGGAAACCCUUGGUGCUCAGCUCCUGUUGUUCUUCCUGCCCACUGCUGCUCAGCAGCCAACCAAGCCCUGCCACGAGACCCCCGGGAUGCUCCUGACAAGAAGUGAGGAUCCCUGCCAGGUCCUGGCGUGCACCAUCACUACCCAUACCUUGG